UAUAUCCACCAGUCAGAGACGCAGGAGGAGCCGCAGUCUCAGCGAGACGAACCGAAAGUAAGUUGGACAUGAAGACGCCUUUAGAGGAGCGGAGAAGAUCUCAGAUGUAGAGGAUUUCAGACGCUGCUGCUGUCCGUCUCUGCCAUUUGGUGAGUUAAGCGCCCGUGCAGUCUCUGAUGUGGUGUGUUCCUCAGAUGAUGUGUCGGGUAGGCUGGUUGUGUGUUCAGGUGCCACUGGUGUUGGAGAGAGAUGGAACCUGUUUCUCCUUAGGAUGCCUUCUGGUGUCUCCACUAGCUUUUCCAUGUCCACACACCUUGGCUCGAGUUGAGAUGGGAUGACAGGAACAGGUGUUCUUAUCUUUCUGCCCAUGAGAAGCUCAGUGGGACUGUAUCCGUUGGCCAGUGGGGCAGCACGGUAGGCCAUGAGAGCGAGAUAUGGAUCUGCUGACUUUUUCAGUAGAUUUUUGAUUGUUCUUACUGCUCUCUCUGCCUCCCCGUUGCUCUGUGGAAAGCGAGGACUAGAUGUCACAUGAUCGAAGCCCCAGUCCUUUGCGAAGUGUCGGAAGCACUCAGAUGAAAACUGUGGCCCGUUGUCCGAGCGCACCACAUCUGGGAUUCAGUGACGGGCGAAGAUUGAUUUGAAGUGCUGGAUUGUUGCUUCCCGAAGUUGUUGUUGACAUCUUUGCGACUUCAAAGAAUCUAGAAAAAUAGUCUACAACAAUUAAAUAGUGCUGGUUGUUAUACUGGAACAUAUCUGCUCCUAGUGUGGACCACGGUCGUGUUGGAAACAAUGUAGGCAGCAUCGGUUCUUUCAAGUUUGUUCUCUCGUGAGCACAUGUGUCACAGUUCUCUAUCAUCUGUUGCAAUUCUUUACUAAGGCCAGGCCACCACACUGAUUGUUUGGCUCUCUCUCUGCAUUUUGUUAGGCCUAAAUGUCCCUCAUGCAGCUUGUUUAGUAUAUCUACACAGAGUGAUACUGGAAUGACGAUUCUUUCUCCUCUGAGCAGCACUCCAUUCUGCACCGUGAAUUCACCUGAGAAGGGCAGGUAGGGUUGAAUCUCCCUUUUGACGGAAAAUCUGUCAGGCCAACCAUCCGCACAAUGUUUCUUAAGCUGACAAAGUGUAGGGUCACUGUCUUGAUGUGUCCUGAUUUCUUGCAGCCUAGGCUCUGUAGCUGGAAGGCUUGCCAUGACCAUGUCAACAUACAGGUCUAUUUUUUCCUGCUGUAGCUCAUCUUCAGUGUAGCUUACAGGGGCCCUAGAAAUUACAUCUGCAGUCGCAAUAUUCUUGCCAGCCACAUGUGAUAUUGUAUAUGAGAACCUCAACAGUCUCAUUCGGAGACGUUGUAUUCGUGGUGGUAAAGCAUCCAGCAUCUUUGAGCCCAACAGUGGGACCAAUGGUUUGUGGUCUGUCUCUAUGUGGAAGGUUUUCCCUAGGAGAAAUUCCUCAAACCUCUCACAGGCCCAUGUGGACGCCAAUGCCUCCUUCUCUAUCUGGGCAUACCUUUGCUCAGUAGUGGUCAGAGCCCGUGAUGCAUAAGCUAUUGGUUUCCAUGCUGUGUAUGGUUGUUUUUGGAGGAGAACAGCGCCUAGCCCAUAUGACGACGCAUCUGCAGAGACUAGCGUUUCAGCAUUGGUGACAUAUAAUGCCAGUCCAGGUGGCGUUGUUAGCUCCUCUUUGAUUCUAUCAAAGGCCUCCUGCUGUUGGGACCCCCAUGCCCACGUUUGAC